GAGCGCCGUAGCAAUACGGAGCGGCAGACGGGAGAGUAACACGCGGGAACGUGCCCUUUGGUCCGGAACAACCCAGGGAAACUUGGGCUAAUACCGGAUAAGUCCGUAAGGAGAAAGAUUUAUCGCCAAAGGAUCGGCCCGCGUCUGAUUAGCUAGUUGGUGAGGUAACGGCUCACCAAGGCGACGAUCAGUAGCUGGUCUGAGAGGAUGAUCAGCCUCACUGGGACUGAGACACGGCCCAGACUCCUACGGGAGGCAGCAGUGGGGAAUAUUGGACAAUGGGCGCAAGCCUGAUCCAGCCAUGCCGCGUGGAUGAUGAAGGCCCUAGGGUUGUAAAGUCCUUUCGGCGGGGAAGAUAAUGACGGUACCCGCAGAAGAAGCCCCGGCUAACUUCGUGCCAGCAGCCGCGGUAAUACGAAGGGGGCUAGCGUUGCUCGGAAUCACUGGGCGUAAAGCGCACGUAGGCGGCUUUCUAAGUCAGAGGUGAAAUCCUGGAGCUCAACUCCAGAACUGCCUUUGAUACUGGAGAGCUUGAGUCCGGGAGAGGUGAGUGGAACUGCGAGUGUAGAGGUGAAAUUCGUAGAUAUUCGCAAGAACACCAGUGGCGAAGGCGGCUCACUGGCCCGGUACUGACGCUGAGGUGCGAAAGCGUGGGGA
rnacentral:rRNA from 1 species